GUGGGGAAUUUUGGACAAUGGGCGCAAGCCUGAUCCAGCAAUGCCGCGUGUGUGAAGAAGGCCUUCGGGUUGUAAAGCACUUUUGUCCGGAAAGAAAUGGCCUGGGUUAAUACCCCGGGUCGAUGACGGUACCGGAAGAAUAAGCACCGGCUAACUACGUGCCAGCAGCCGCGGUAAUACGUAGGGUGCGAGCGUUAAUCGGAAUUACUGGGCGUAAAGCGUGCGCAGGCGGCGAUGCAAGACAGAUGUGAAAUCCCCGGGCUCAACCUGGGAACUGCAUUUGUGACUGCAUGGCUAGAGUGCGUCAGAGGGGGGUGGAAUUCCGCGUGUAGCAGUGAAAUGCGUAGAGAUGCGGAGGAACACCGAUGGCGAAGGCAGCCCCCUGGGAUGACACUGACGCUCAUGCACGAAAGCGUGGGGAGCAAACAGGAUUAGAAACCCGGGUAGUCC
rnacentral:rRNA from 1 species